GCAGCAGCAGCAGCAGAAAGCUCGGAGCAUAUUUUGACGUUGACGUAUCUAAAGUCAAAUUCAAUUUACGCGCCGGCCUAUUAUAAACCAUUUUAAUUAAGUAAAGUGGAUUAAUUUGCGACUCGUUAGACUAAUUAAGGAUUAUCGCCAACAGCAACAGCAACAGCAACGCCGCGCCAGCCAUUUGAGAAAACUCGGCGACCCAAAGGAUAUGUGAAAGAACAACGAUAACAAAACGUGACCUUUUCAAUAUAAACGCUAUAAAUAGCUAAACAGUAAAAGACAACAACAACAACAACAAACAAAUAAAAUAAAAAUAAAAUAAUCUAACCGUCCACAAGGAGAAACAUUUAAUUGGAUUUCAGUUCGCCUUGGCUUUUCGGAUACAAUUAACCGUUUGGCACUGAGCCACCACGCCCAC